rnacentral:rRNA from 1 species
UUAUUUAUUUAUUAAAUGUAAAAUAUGAUUUAUAGGUAAAGUUCAAAUUUUUUAGGUGAAAUUUUAAAUUCGAUUUUUCUAUUUAAGUGUUUUUGAAGUUGGGAAAUUUCUUUUUAGACUAGGAUUAGAUACCCUAUUAUUGGAAAAGUUAUAUAUAAGUUAAAAUUACUAAUAGCUAUGAUCUUUAAAAUUAAAGAAUUUGGCGGUAUUUUAGUCUAUUCAGAGGAACCUGUUUUAUAAUUGAUAAUCCACGAUUAGUUUUACUUUAAAUUUAAGUUUGUAUAUCGCCGUAGUUAGAAUAUUUUAGUAGAAUAGAAAUGUUCAAGGAAUCAAAUUAAAUAGGAAUUCAGGUCAAGGUGCAGUUUAUUUUAAAGGAAAAAUGGGUUACAUUGUGUUUACAGUUGGUCUUUGUAUUUGAAAAGUCUCAGUAAAUUGGAUUUGAUAGUAAUUUUUCUUAUUUUUCUAGAAUGAUUAUGCUCUAAAAUAUGCACAUAUCGCCCGUCGCUUUCACUUAAGGUGAAAUAAGUCGUAACAGAGUAGGCCUAUUGGAAAAUGGGCCUGGAAUG